CAGCCGCCGCGGUAAUACAGAGGGUGCGAGCGUUAAUCGGAUUUACUAAGCGUAAAGCGUGCGUAGGCGGCUUCUUAAGUCGGAUGUGAAAUCCCUGAGCUUAACUUAGGAAUUGCAUUCGAUACUGGGAAGCUAGAGUAUGGGAGAGGAUGGUAGAAUUCCAGGUGUAGCGGUGAAAUGCGUAGAGAUCUGGAGGAAUACCGAUGGCGAAGGCAGCCAUCUGGCCUAAUACUGACGCUGAGGUACGAAAGCAUGGGGAGCAAACAGGAUUAGAGACCCCUGUAGUCCCUGUCUCUUAUAC
rnacentral:rRNA from 1 species